GUGGCUAUAGUUUAAUGGUAGAACUGCGGGUUGUGGUCCCGCUAGCGAGGGUCCGAUUCCCUCUAGCCACCCCA
rnacentral:tRNA from 7 species